CAAGAGAGGAGGAAAUGGGAAGGGGUCCUGUCACGUCCUUGUCUGUUCGCUUGUCCCUCUUUUUUUUUUUCUGUCUUCCUUCCUUCCUUUCUUUCU
rnacentral:ribozyme from 1 species